rnacentral:lncRNA from 1 species
GUAGUUGUUUCUUAAAGAAUAACAGCAAACAUUCCAAUGUCCAAAUCUUGGUUCGUCUUCCACUUUAUUGCUUGGAUGUUUCUUUGGUGUUGGUAAGGCUGUGGCCUGCUUUUUGCUUUGUUUCUGAACGGUCAUUAAUUCUUUAGGUCACCCUGCCGAUGGUGAAGGUGCCUGGGGAGCCUGGUGUUACUCAGCACUGCUCUGCUCGGUGGAUGGAGCAGGGUUCUCAGUUGGUGCUUCACCUGCCGUGGCCUCUUUGCCAUCUUGUGAAGGAGCGUUAGGAGAACGUGGGCGACGCCGGUAAUUGUAGGGACGCCGGUAUCCACGGCGAACAGGCGGCUGGUUUGGACCACUGGAGGCUUGCUGAUUUUCUUUAUCUUCAGCCUCUCCAACUGCUGGGGCAGGUCGUGGGCGAGGAGGUCCCCUGCUAUGGUACCUUGGGCGGUAAGUUGGAUUUCGAUGAAAUGGUCCCUGAAGUUGUGCUCCUUCUGGGACUCCAUCCUUCAGCUCUCCAAUCUCAACACGUAAUCCCGGGGAGGGCCAUGGCGCCUUCCAUAGUAGCCACGUCUGUAACGGCGCCAAUCAGCGCGUAACGACUGCCCUCCACAGGAACUCCACCCCGGCCAGUCACACUGGCUGCUUCUGCACCCUUCUCUCCUUAAACCACAUCAAACUCUACAGUUUCUCCAUCUCCUACACUGCGCAGAUAUUUCUGUGGGUUAUUCUUCUUGAUGGCAGUCUGAUGUAUAAAUAGAUCUUCUUUGGUGUCAUUUCGAUUUAUAAAUCCAUAUCCAUUUCUGACGUUGAACCAUUUGACAGUGCCAAGGACUUUGGUGGCGAGAACUUUUUUCUCCGCGUCUUCGCUGUCGGCGGCGGUGGCUAAAGAGGCGGCGGCCGCGGUGCCCGUGGCUGCGGGGGCCCCGUCCCCACCCGGGUUUCCUGCGACGAGGGCGGCGGGCGCCGGGGCCGCGGCUUGGGGUGCACCGCUGCCCACCCGGCUCUUGGUCGCGGGGUCCUGGGGAGCCGCGGCGGCCGCCACCGCAGGAGCCUGCUGGAGGGUGGUGGUGAUGAUGGUGGCCUCGCCCGCCUCGCUCAUGCCUCCUCCUCCUCUGCUCUCGCUCAUGCGCCUCGGUGGCGGUUGGUCGGCGGUUAGUGCGGCUGGUGGUCGCCGCGGCCGGGGCUCGCUCUCGGGGAGGCCGGGGCUGAUCUCGCGGCGCAGGCGGCGGCGGCAGAGGUGGGGUCGCGCAGCGGAGGCAGCUCGAGCUUCGGGAUGCGCGCUC